AGAUCUUCAAAUUUCUAUGCAAUAUAGAUAUUUUAGAUCUUCAAAUUUCUAUGGAUAUAUCACAUGGCUACUAAAAUUUGUUCCACAAGUUUUUUUUUUAAUUUUGUGAAUAAAUAUUGAAAGUAAUUUAUAACUUAAUACCUAAAUCAAAAGUCUUGUAGUCUUUAAAACUCUUUCAUAAGGCCUUUUUAAUAGUAAGUAUAUAUAAAGAUAGUAAUUAGAUCAUUCUAAGUCUUGUAGAUAUCUUUCUUAUAUUUUAAUCUUACUUGAAGAUUCUCUAGCUUCUUUGUAUUUAGCAAUAGUCAUUCUAAUUUUUUUCUAUCUUAUAUUUAAGUCUUUUUUCUACUGUCUUUCUU
rnacentral:lncRNA from 1 species